rnacentral:misc_RNA from 1 species
GAAAUGCGAUAAGUAAUGUGAAUUGCAGAAUUCAGUGAAUCAUCGAAUCUUUGAACGCACAUUGCGCCCCCUGGUAUUCCGGAGGGCAUACCUGUUCGAGCGUCAUUUCACCACUCAAGCCUCGCUUGGUAUUGGGCAACGCGGUCCGCCGCGUGCCUCAAAUCGACCGGCUGGGUCUUCUGUCCCCUAAGCGUUGUGGAAACUAUUCGCUAAAGGGUGUUCGGGAGGCUACGCCGUAAAACAACCCCAUUUCUAAGGUUGACCUCGGAUCAGGUAGGGAUACCCGCUGAACUUAAGC